UGGCAAAGCAUGGCGGCUGUUUUACUCCCU
rnacentral:piRNA from 1 species